UGUCAUGGCAACCCUCCCAGCCAGUUCCUGGUGAGCAUGCUUAUGGCAUAUGAGAUGCGUGAACAUCAUUCAGCGUCUCAAAGGAGGGGGCUCUUAAGAGUCACAAAGUCACUGAUAAAGGUACUUUAUCACUGAUUGAGGGGAGUGGAUUUACAACAACCACCUCAAAAACAUUGUUCUCCAGAGAGCAUGUCACCAAGAGACAUGCGCCCUGGAUUCUCCUGGAUCUUCUAGGAUGCACAAGUAUCGACAUCCUUCUUCUGAGGACCACCGCUUCCUUCACCCUGUCUGGAAGUUCUGAGGCUUUUACAAAGAACGCAUGCCCUUUUCCGUGGGAACAAUGCAAUAACAGAGCUCUCUCUCUUUGGCAGGCAGCCUACUCAAACUAUGCCCAUUGGACUUCACAGCGAGAGGUUUGGCAUCACCUAGAGGUAUCACAUGAAAAGGUAUAAUUAACAAGAAAAUCCCUGAGAUGGAGACAAAUGUUUAAUAUCUCAAACAGAACUCAGAUUGCUGUCGUCUUAUAACACAAUAGAUGUUGACUCUGCCACCUCUCAGAUGUGGCAAAAUGUUUCAAGUGGCAAAAAUUUUCUCUCUUCAAAAGCACCAGAUUAUAAUGGAAAAACUACAGCAUUCAUCUUUCAUUUGUUGCUUCCGGGUUAGCUAUCUCCUCAUACAUUUGUAUGUUCUUAUGCAUUUUUAAAAAAUAGAAUAAAGCAAUUGGUAGAGAGAG